CCCCGGGCUCAACCUGGGAACUGCGUUCUGAACUGGGUGACUAGAGUGUGUCAGAGGGAGGUAGAAUUCCACGUGUAGCAGUGAAAUGCGUAGAGAUGUGGAGGAAUACCGAUGGCGAAGGCAGCNUCCUGGGAUAACACUGACGUUCAUGCCNGAAAGCGUGGGUAGCAAACAGGAUUAGAUACCCUGGUAGUNCACGCCCUAAACGAUGUCGAUUAGCUGUUGGGCAGCAUGACUGCUUAGUAGCGAAGCUAACGCGUGAAAUCGACCGCCUGGGGAGUACGGUCGCAAGAUUAAAACUCAAAGGAAUUGACGGGGACCCGCACAAGCGGUGGAUGAUGUGGAUUAAUUCGAUGCAACGCGAAGAACCUUACCUGGUCUUGACAUGUACGGAACCCUCCAGAGACGGAGGGGUGCCUUCGGGAGCCGUAACACAGGUGCUGCAUGGCUGUCGUCAGCUCGUGUCGUGAGAUGUUGGGUUAAGUCCCGCAACGAGCGCAACCCUUGUCAUUAGUUGCCAUCAUUAAGUUGGGCACUCUAAUGAGACUGCCGGUGACAAGCCGGAGGAAGGUGGGGAUGACGUCAAGUCCUCAUGGCCCUUAUGACCAGGGCUUCACACGUCAUGCAAUGGUCGGUACAGAGGGUAGCCAAGCCGCGAGGUGGAGCCAAUCUCACAAAACCGAUCGUAGUCCGGAUUGCACUCUGCAACUCGAGUGCAUGAAGUCGGAAUCGCUAGUAAUCGCAGGUCAGCAUACUGCGGUGAAUACGUUCCCGGGUCUUGUACACACCGCCCGUCACACCAUGGGAGUGGGGGAUACCAGAAGUAGGUAGGGUAACCGCAAGGAGCCCGCUU
rnacentral:rRNA from 1 species